AGAAGUAUUUGUACACCAUCAGUCUCACAGCAGGACACUUGGCAUGUGGGUCCGUGCAACACGAACCAGACAACGUUCCAAGCCAAUAUUCUGCAUCCAUUCCAAGUCACGUCUCACCAGUCUCAUGUGUAACCAGAGAAAUUGUGGUUUUGCAUUUAGACAAGAAGAGCUACCGGAUUCACAUGUACAGUAUGUUUUGUCUUUAAGAGUUAUACAGUUUUAUAAAACAAUAAAAAGUCUGUAUUUUAAUUAUCCAAAUAUUUAUUCAUCUCAUUUUGCGUUCUGAAGAUUAAAAAAGUCAUAUGGGUUUCCAACAACACGAAGGCUCAUAAUCAGAACAGGGUGGAACCUUGGGACAUAUUUCAAAAGCAACAGUUUCCAGGAACGCCGGGUUGAGGAAUACCAAAAGGGUCUGUCUCUUUCAUGAUAACAACCAGAAGAAUGAGACUCUCAGUUCUGGCCAGAUUUCUGCUGUAAGCUCCAUUUAUGUGCUGCCUUACGAAUCAUUUUUGCUGUCCUCUAAGAGCUGGUGGACCACAUGGAGAGAUGACUGUCCAUAAACCUCCUACCCCAUUGGAAUGCCACAAUCACACACUACUGUAGGUCAGGACUGAGAAAAGCUCCAAAAAUACCACAUGAUUCCUGACUCUCACCCCCAGGGUAAUAAAACACCCACAGCACUGUCCCUAGGGAGGUGUAUGGGGUUAUUUUGGAUACCAACA